CAUGCCUACUCAAGUGUGUGAGUGUGAGAGUUUGGGCGUGUAUACGAGUGCGUCUGAGUGUUGGUGUUUACGUUUGACGGGGGUCUGCGUGCCCUACGCUGCACAGCUCGCGGGGGGCAACAGAAAAGACAGCUGUGUGUUUGAGAGACGCAGAAAACGUAAGAAAGCCAGAGUGGAGGGCCAACAGGCAUGCCAGUCAAGACGGUCACUUUUGGAAAGAAGUGAUGAGUUAGAAACAGACGUCAUAGCUUGGACCGAGCCUCCCUGGGAGGGAGCUUGAGUAUCUUGCAGAGCUGUGAUAUUGUAGGAUGUCAGCCAGGAUUAACAGUGAUCUAAAUCCAGGUGUAACUCUGACCACACUUCCUGUUGCAUCACUGAACACUUUAGCUGUCUAUAAGAAAGGGCCGCACAGGUAUUACCACUAUUAAUGUGAGCUUUUGUAAAAAUCAAAACAAUGCUUUCUCACUCAGCAUGUGAACAUUUUUCACACCCUCAUGUUUGGUUCAUGCAGCCAGGUAAAACUCAAGCUACCAGUUUGCAAGUUUAGAGUUGAAGAUUGUGUGUUUUAUGUUUGAGUCACAGAAAUAAGAGCUAAACUUAUUCCUCUGUAUUGCUUGUCAUACCAUGUCCUUAUCAAAUACUGUAAAAUAGUAUUGCACUUCAAAUUUUUCCUAACACUAAGAGAAAAACAGACAAAUUAUUAUGAGUGUAAGGUUCAGAUGUUCAUUGCAAAGUCAAGCCUCUAGAAACCCACUAUGUUUAUUUGGAACAGCAACCUGCACUCUUCAUAUUGCAUUAUCAUAAUGCAGAAAGUGCAAAUGUCACUUAUUUCUAGCAUCAUUCAGCUCUAGUGUGUGACUGAAUCUACAGCAAUCAUUCCAAAUAGCAUGAAAUCCUCUUUUUAAUCUUCCCAUAUGUUUUUAAAGUCAUCUUGACUUAUGCACAAUCUAAAAACAUGCAACAAUGCAACACCUCUUCAUCUUGUAUUAAAGUAUUUUUGUCGUAUUUGUCACCUACCUCAAUAUUGUUAAGAUCAUAUAAACUUUUAUUGAUCCCCCAUUGUGGGAAGUUUGCUUUUUACAGCAGCUCACUAGAGGCCAAAAGUAAUGAGCAAUAAAUAAAAAUAGGGGUGUGUAUUGGCAAGAAUCUGGCGAUAUGAUAUUUAUUGCGAUACAGGGGUGCUGAUACUGAUAUAUUGCAAUAUAUUGCGAUACUAUGAGCAAGGUGAUAUAUUGCGAUAUUUUUAUAAUUUAACAUAUAUACAAUACUUAACAAAUUUAUUA